GCCUCGGUGGUUUAAUGGCUUAGGACGCUCGUAUGGAAUACAAGAUAUCCGGGUUCAAGUCCUGGCCGAAGUA
rfam:Trachymyrmex cornetzi contig55969, whole genome shotgun sequence.